UAUUUUUAAGAGUUGGUACAAUAUAUAAUAUAAAAUAUUUAUUUUAUUUUAUACUACGUUCGUACUCCGUGUCGUACUCUUAAUUGAAUCUACUACUUACAAUCGAGAUAGAUUAUCGAAAUCAAUACUUUCGAUUAUCGAAUUAUAAAAUCAACACGUGAAACAAGUGUAAAUAAAAAAAGGAAAAUAAUAUAUUAUAUAUUAUCAGGUAUAGUAAUAAUUAGAGUCGUUUCUUUAAGGUUUUUGUCGUUUAGAUUAUCAUGAAACAACUUGGCAAAUGCAUUUAAUAGAAACACGACAUUAAUUAUUAUUAGAUCUUGAUGUCAAAAGGUUAUGUUAUAUAUUAAAUUGUUUUUUCUUUUGUAUGUGUAGUAGAAAACAAGUAAGAUUUUAUAUUUAUAUUUAUGUAUAUAAUGUGAUCACUUCUAUAGAUGAAAGUAAUUUGAAGUGUAAAAUGUUUCAUAUACGUCAAUAUACUCUCCGGAGUUCUGUUAAAUUUUAUCAAAAUUUAUUACAAAGUUGGAUACAUAAUUCUAAUGAACAUCCAUCAGCUGGCCUAAUUAUCAUUGGAAAUGAAAUACUGAAAGCACGGGUAAAGGACACUAAUUCUCAUUAUGCUUGUAGUUUAUUAUAUAAAUGUGGCGUUAAGGUAGAAAAAAUAUCAGUUAUAAGCGAUGAUGUAGAAGAAAUAAAAGAAGAAAUCAAGAAGUUCUCUGGAAAAUAUAAUCAUGUUAUUACAUCGGGCGGUAUUGGACCAACUCAUGACGAUGUUACAUAUGAGGGACUUGCUAAAGCUUUUGACGACUCCCUACACUAUCAUCCGGAACUUGUUGAGAUUAUAAAAAAUCAAUUUGAUGUAAUAAGUCCAACAUCACCUAAUUACAAAAUGGCUUAUAUACCAACGAAAGCAUCUUUAAUAUUUGGGAAAAGAAAAAGCGUGAGAUAUCCAUGCGUUAUGUUAGAAAAUGUGUAUAUAUUCCCUGGGUCGCCAAUAUUCUUUGAAAAAUCUUUUGGAAUAUUGCACAAGGAAUUGUUUUCAUCAAAUAGGUACUUUGCGAAGGAUGAAAUAUAUUUGAAUGCGAAAGAGGAAUUAUUUGCAAAUGCCUUAACACUUGUUUCUAAAGAAUUUCCAAAUGUUUCAUUUGGUUCCUAUCCUGUAAGCAAUAAUAGCUACUACAAAGCAUUUAUUACUAUAGAAAGUGACAGCAUUGAACAAACGAACAAAGCAAAACAACAACUUUGCAAUCUUAUUGAACCAGAUAUUUUGGUGGAAUACGAUAAUAAUUCACAUAUUGAUAGCCUUACAAAAUAUAAAAACUUUCUUGAGAAAUGUCAACGAUCGUUUAUUUAUGAAGAGACCUUGGACAAAUUAAUAAAAACUUAUCAACAUCAAUCUGAGAAAAUAGCAGUUUUUCUUAAUAGUAGUAUAGAAACACAGAUAGUCAUACAUUUUGUUCAUUUGGCUCACACAGUAUUACGCGUGCACGAUAAAUUACAAAUUUUUUGUUUCAAAUUGUCCGAACUUUCUAAAAACGACGAACAAUUAAUCGAAGAUACUGUAAAAAGAUAUAACGUAAAUAUUUGCAAUUUAGAAAGUGAUCUUUUGCAUGCUAUGAAGAAAUUAAGGUCAGUAAAACCGCAAUUAGAAAUCUUAUUAGUCGGAACGGAGGAAAAGAAAUUUAGUGAAGCAUUGGAAUGCCAAUCAAGAAAUGAGGAGGCUAUUGGGCAAUUAGAAAUAACAAAUCCUUUACAUAAAUGGACACAAGAAGAUAUACGAAACUUUGCUAGAUUUCUAUCAUUGCCCUUAACAUGAUUUCAUGAACUUUCCAAGAUGAAAGAAGAAACGUGUUUUACUGAAUCACCUUUAUACACAUAUUUUCGCAGUCUUGUAUAUAAACUCGUAAAAUAUGAAAAUAUUUCGUUAAAGUGAAAGUAAUACAAAUAACAGAAAGCAGAGAAAAAAGAACGAGUUUACGACAAGAAAUAGAUAUUUUGAUAUGAAUCUGUGUCUCAUCUCUGAGAGGAGAAGGAGGAGGAGGAGGAGAAGAAGGAGGAGAGUAACAGUCAUCUCAUCGUUGCGAAUCACGCGCGACCUCGAUUUGAAAAAUCCCAAAAUGCUUCCGGCAGGUUGACGGAAGUCGUUUAAUAUUCGUAAGGGCAUGCACAGCAAGAAACACAAAAGCUUCCUACCAUUGUCUACGUGCGCUUUCAAUAUGUCUGCUCAGCCAUCCGAGCAGCGGAACUCGAAUGUACAUUGAAGAGGUAUGAGGUUCAGGGGGUGGGUAUGGGUGCUGGUGGUGAGGGUAAGAGCGAGGGUGAGUUUGAGGGAGAGCAAGAGAAAGAUGAUGAGAAUGAGGAUGAGGAGGAGGAGGGGUUGUGAGAUUCCAGGAACUGAAGUUAGGAGAGAGAAA
rnacentral:misc_RNA from 1 species